rnacentral:miRNA from 1 species
GUUUACAUUGCAUGCACUUA